rnacentral:rRNA from 1 species
GGAGUUAGCCGGUGCUUCUUCUGUGAGUGAUGUCCUUCCUGCCGGCUAUUAACCCGCAGGCCUUCUUCCUCACUGAAAGUGCUUUACAACCCGAAGGCCUUCUUCACACACGCGGCAUGGCUGGAUCAGGGUUGCCCCCAUUGUCCAAUAUUCCCCACUGCUGCCUCCCGUAGGAGUCUGGGCCGUGUCUCAGUCCCAGUGUGGCUGAUCAUCCUCUCAGACCAGCUACGGAUCGUCGCCUUGGUGAGCCGUUACCUCACCAACCAGCUAAUCCGACAUAGGCUCAUCCGAUAGCGCGAGGCCCGAAGGUCCCCCGCUUUCCCCCGUAGGGCGUAUGCGGUAUUAGCCUGGGUUUCCCCAGGUUAUCCCCCGACUACCGGGCAGAUUCCUAUGCAUUACUCACCCGUCCGCCGCUCGCCACCAGGAGCAAGCUCCCCGUGCUGCCGCUCGACUUGCAUGUGUUAGGCCUGCCGCCAGCGUUCAAUCUGAGCCAUGAUCAAACUCUGA